UAAUGUCAUAGUUUAUAUAUUAUCCACAAAAAUAAAUAAGCAAACAUGACAAUAAUAAUUACUCAAGAACCAUGGUAAAGUCCUAUUUAUUUUACUUUAACACCUACAAUAAAUAAUAAAAUGUAAAAGUAAAUGCUAUAAAAUAUCUUACACUCUCAAAAAUACAUAGAUAAACUCCUAACAAUCAUCAUCGUACCACAAAACAACAUUAUGCAUCAGAACAGGUCAAUAUUACUUGUCUACUUCCAUGAAAUCCACAAGAAAAUAAGUGGAAUCAUUAUGUUUUUAGUGUUUGAAGAUGGCGAUCAUUGACAAUACAACUGAAACUCCGAUCAUUGCCACUGAACUUGUAACAGAUCCAGCAACUCCAGCAUCAGAACCUGAACAAGUCGAUACUGCUUGUCUACUUCCAUGAAAUCCACAAGA
rnacentral:lncRNA from 1 species